rnacentral:rRNA from 1 species
GACGAACGCUGGCGGCGUGCUUAACACAUGCAAGUCGAACGGAAAGGCCCUGCUUUUGUGGGGUGCUCGAGUGGCGAACGGGUGAGUAACACGUGAGUAACCUGCCCUUGACUUUGGGAUAACUUCAGGGAACUGGGGCUAAUACCGGAUAGGAGCUCCUGCUGCAUGGUGGGGGUUGGAAAGUUUCGGCUGUUGGGGUUGGACUCGCGGCUUAUCAGCUUGUUGGUGGGGUAGUGGCGUACCAAGGCUUUGACGGGUAGCCGGCCUGAGAGGGUGACCGGCCACAGUGGGACUGAGAUACGGACCAGAGUGCUACGGGAGGCAGCGGUGGGAAAUAUUGCACAAUGGGCGGAAGCCUGAUACAGCAACGCCGCGUGCGGGAUGACGGCCUUCGGGUUGUAAACCGCUUUCGCCUGUGACGAAGCGUGAGUGACGGUAAUGGGUAAAGAAGCACCGGCUAACUACGUG